rnacentral:rRNA from 1 species
GACAGAGGGUGCAAACGUUGUUCGGAAUUACUGGGCGUAAAGCGAGUGUAGGCGGUUCGAAAAGUCGGGUGUGAAAGCCCUGGGCUCAACCCAGGAAGUGCACUCGAAACUCUCGAGCUAGAGUAUCGGAGAGGUUGGUGGAAUUCUCGGUGUAGAGGUGAAAUUCGUAGAUAUCGAGAGGAACACCGGUGGCGAAGGCGGCCAACUGGACGAAUACUGACGCUGAGACUCGAAAGCGUGGGGAGCGAACAGG